UCCUCACUAACGCACCAAGCCCAUUGGUCGAGCACCAAACCGCCCCCCCAAUAACCUGAACGCAAGUCAAGAAAGAGCAAAAUGACUCAAUACUCAUGAUCACAAAUGGUGAGUUCCGCACCAGAAAAGAUAUCACAAAGCAAAACUUCCCAUUUUAAGUAUCUCACUUUCACAAGACAUCCAUAAGGACAUUGUUAUGGCCCUUAUCUCACAAUCUCCAACAAAACAAAAAUCCACAACUCUAGUACUCCACUUUAUAGAUGUUAUGUAACGUAUCACUAAUAAUUUACAAACUUAAAGAUGGAAAUAAAACUACCAGGUCAAAAAAAUUCUAUAAACAUGACAUAUUCAAUGAAUUUGAUGGAAAACUAGGAUUACAAUAUAGCUAUACUAAAUGAUUAUAGUUUGUCCAUUUCGAAAGAGAACUUCAUAUACGAAGAAUUUCUCAUGAUACUUUCUUUGAAGAUUUGCUUUUAUGAUUCUCUUUAACCUCUCUAUGAUGUUAUUUUCAUUGCUGAAAGCACCAUGAAAGAAGUGGUAAUAUCAUCAGAACAGAAACUAAAAAGUUGAUAAAGUUCAAGUAUCCUAUAUUGCAAAUUGAUAGUGUGUUUUGUCCAACUUAUUACUAUAUUUUCUGCACUAAACAAUUUCAGAUAAAUUCGGAAAAAUUUAUUUUAGUACUAAUAAUUACGAUGCAGCAGUGAUAAGUUCAGAUAAAAAUAGUAUGAUGAUUUCAGAGCCUAAGCACCUACUACACUUAAGAAAUUAUAAUUUAUGUUGAGAUUAAUGGUGUGACUUGAGUGCACUAUCAUGCAUUCAUGUGUGACUCAUGGGAUGGAAUCCUAUGGAGUAAGUUAAUGGGUGUAUUAAGUUGGUGAAUGGAGUAAGUUAAUGGGUGUAUUAAGUUGGUGACUUAAUGUGGUGGUUUAUAAUGGAGUUUAAGUGUAUAUAUUUUAAUUCAUGAAGUUAUGAGGGGAUGAAAAGGACUUAAACAUAUGGUAUAAUGAUGCUAGUUAAGUAUGUGGUAAAUGUGAUUAAUGAAGGAGUUCAUGAGUCAGAGUAUCUAGUGUUGUACGAUGUGCUCGAACAAGGCACUCAUAGAAGAAUCCUUGCCUUGAACGAGCAUCACAAACAGAAGCUGACAAAAUGCGGCAAAACAGGCUGCUCGAACAAGCAAGCAGCAGGUAGAAGAUCAGUAGCUCCAGUAGUUUGCUGCUCAAACAAGCUCCUCAUAGCUCGAACGAGCACUUUCAAGAUCAGUGCAUUGGAUUCCAAUUUCGACAGUUCAAGUUCUGAAUUUGUUUAAUUGUGCAUUAAUCCAUAAGUCUUAAUCAUGCAAUAUUCUUUAAUGUAAUGACUCCUAUAAAUAGGGAGCUCCAAUGAACAUCAAAGUCAUCAAAAUACAAACCCCAAGCCUAAAAACAUAGCCUUUGCAUUCUCUUACAUCAUUUGUAAUACUUCAUUGUAAGAGUUGUAUUUCUCUAUUGUUAUAAUAUAAACAAGACACUACACAUCACGGAGGACGUAGCCAUCAUUGGACGAACCUCCUUAAAUCUUUGUGUUCUUUUGCAUUGUUUUAUUUCCUUUAAACAUUGUCAUAGUCAUUGAAUUUCAAUCGGUUCAUCAAGAUGCUUCAAACCUUGCGAUCUUGGUAACAUUAGAGGUUAAGUUCUAUACUUAGACUCUAAUCAAGCAAUUAUUUUAAUUUAAAAUAGAGAAAAUUAUAAGGAACUACCAAUUCUAUAGCACCUUUUGCAAAAAACUACUUAAUCUAAUUUUUUUUGCAAAAAAACUACCUUACAUGAUAUUGUUGUUUGCAAAAGACAACCACUUGACGAAAUCAGUUAGUUGACCGUCAAGUGUGUCUUUGACCUUGCACGUGACAGGCAUGUGACUUCAUCUGACGUCGUUUUGCCCUACUUGGUUUAACCUCCAUGACCCGAACUCCUUAAACCCACCUCCAUGUCUCUCUUCAUCUUCUUCCAACAAUCGUACCCUCACGUGCUUGAAAUGAAAUUCAAUCUCUCACAUCACGUGUGUCCCUCCUAACACCCCCAAAUCUCCUUACCUCUGCUUUCUUUGUUCAAACCCUAAUUUCAAGUUAUUCGAUUUUAAGAAACCCAGAAAAUCUCAAUCCAAAAAUGGGUCGGAGCCCGGGUUUGUGUCUGGGUCUGGAUCCGACGCAGAAAAUUGACAGGUUAUUGAUGAGAAGGCUGCUAGGAUUCUGACGUUAGCAGCGAGGAUUACGAAGAUUUCGAUGAAUAAAGUGGUUGUUCAAUCGUCAAGUGAAGCUGAGAGAAAAGUUAGAGAAUCUGCAUUGGCUAAGAAAAGAGCUAAUGAAGCAAUUGACUAUGUCAUGAGUAUUUCUUCAAAGUUUAAUAAUAUCAAACCGUAGAAGGUUAUUAACAAUAAUGUUGUUGUUCCGGUUUUAGCUCCUGAUCCAGCCCCGAAUUUAAUCCCAAUUAAGGUAGAGAAGAUUGGUGGGGUCUGCAAUGGUGGUGUUGGUCAAGUCAGUAAUGGAAACGGCCCAGUCGCGAUGGCGGUGGAGAGUAAUGGAGGGAGUAAUGAGAAUCUUAAUCAUAUUGGGAAGGAUCAAAUUGAUAAUGGAGGGAGUAAUGAGAAUCUUAAUCCAAUUGAUAAUCAUAUUGGGAAGGAUCAAAUUGAUAAUGGUGGUGUUGAUCAAAAAAAGGUAACCAGAGACAAGCAACAGCGCAUGCAGAUAAGUUGAGAAACCAGACCUUUGAAUUCCACCAUCAACAAAAACAGAAGAACGCAGGGACAAAGGAGGAACACACAUGUUGGUAAUUACAAGUUUUUCAGGUCUAUCAUUCAAAUAGAGUAGCUCGCAAUCCUGCAAGAUGAUAAAUAUUUAAUUAAAAAACUAAUAGAAGUUUUAAUAUCUUGUCCAUAAGCAAUUUAUGAAAAAUUUUAUUCGGCUACAGAUGUAUAAGUUUUCACACCCUGCAAAACAAUUGUGCAGAACCACACUCUAGUGAUCAUUAAGAAUCUGGUUUGCAAAAUUCAUAGCAUAAAUAUUCACCUGAUCCAGCAUUUGCUUAAAUAAUAACAAUGCAUCAUGAGGAUUUAUAAAGGAAA